GAUGAACGCUAGCGGCAGGCUUAAUACAUGCAAGUCGAGGGGUAGCAAGAUUGUAGCAAUACAAUUGUUGACGACCGGCAAACGGGUGCGGAACACGUACACAACCUUCCUACAAGUGGGGAAUAGCACAGAGAAAUUUGGAUUAAUACCCCGUAACAUAGCUAUGUGGCAUCACAUUGCUAUUAUAGCUUCGGCGCUUGUUGAUGGGUGUGCGGCUGAUUAGAUAGUUGGCGGGGCAACGGCCCACCAAGUCUACGAUCAGUAGCUGAUGUGAGAGCAUGAUCAGCCACACGGGCACUGAGACACGGGCCCGACUCCUACGGGAGGCAGCAGUAAGGAAUAUUGGACAAUGGACGCAAGUCUGAUCCAGCCAUGCCGCGUGAAGGAUUAAGGUCCUCUGGAUUGUAAACUUCUUUUAUAAGGGACGAAAAAAGGUCUUUCUAGAUCGUCUGACGGUACCUUAUGAAUAAGCACCGGCUAACUCCGUGCCAGCCGCCGCAGUAACAC
rnacentral:rRNA from 1 species